rnacentral:rRNA from 1 species
UAUUGUUCUUCAACGAGGAAUCCCUAGUAAGCGCGAGUCAUUAGCUCGCGUUGAUUACGUCCCUGCCCUUUGUACACACCGCCCGUCGCUACUACCGAUUGAAUGGCUUAGUGAGACUUUCGGAUGUGUUUGGAGCCGCUGGCAACAGUGACACCUUGCGCAGAAGUUAUUCAAACUUGGUCAUUUAGAGGAAGUAAAAGUCGUAACAAGGUUUCCGUAGGUGAACCUGCGGAAGGAUCAUU